rnacentral:rRNA from 1 species
CGGGGUGCAGCAGGCGCGAAAACUCCACACUGUACGACAGUACGAUGGGGUUAUCUCGAGUGCAGUCCGAUAAGGGCUGCUUUUCCAUAGAGUAAUAUCCUGUGGGAAUAAGAGGGGGGCAAGACUGGUGUCAGCCGCCGCGGUAACACCAGCCCCUCGAGUGGUGGGGACUAUUAUUUGGUCUAAAGCGUCCGUAGCUGGCUGUAUCCGUCCCCCGUUAAAUCCAGCGUCCUAAACGUUGGACUGCGGGUGAUACCAUACAGCUAGAGGGUGGGAUAGGUGAGCGGUAUUUCUGGGGUAGGGGCGAAAUCCUUUGAUCCCAGGAGGACCACCAGUGGCGAAGGCUGCUCACUAGAACACGCCUGACGGUCAGGGACGAAAGCUGGGGCAGCGAACCGGAUUAGAUACCCGGGUAGUCCCAGCUGUAAACGAUGCUAGCUAGGUGUUGGGUCGGCCACGCGCCGCCCCAGUGCCGCAGGGAAGCCGUUAAGCUAGCCACCUGGGGAGUACGGCCGCAAGGCUGAAACUUAAAGGAAUUGGCGGGGGAGCACAAGGGCGAAUCGCG